rnacentral:lncRNA from 1 species
UCCAUCUAAACAUAUUAUCAUUGUUAUCAAAUCUUAAUAUUCAUAAAUCUGAAACAUGAAUGUCCAUGAAAAAUUGAGAAGGAGGUUAUUUUUGAAAUACCUUAAGUUUAGACCCCAAGUAAUUGAGAAUUACUGCGGCAAUUAUUUCCCUAAUUCCACCUCCGUCGAUGCUUAAAAUGGCCCCAAGUAAUCGAGAAUUACUGCGGCAAUUAUUUCCCUAAUUCCACCUCCGUCGAUGCUUAAAAUGGCAAUGAAAGCCAAUGGUCCUCCAUCACUGCGUCUUUGACUGCUCAUGGUUUCUGGAAGAUGAGA